CCUGAUGCUCAGCUCCGGCGGAUGCCACGGGCACAAACGCGGGGUGGGGGGAAAGAUAAUAGGAAGGCAGGGGGGCGAGACCCCCUUAUCCUCCCCAACCCCUUCAGAAAUACCCCAAUGCGCCCUUUUGAGCAUCGUCCCAUCAGGAGAGGUAUCACCUAAGGGAACAUGCAGGACUCACUCAAACUCCACUUUCUUGGAGUAAAUCACAGCCUUAUCUCAACCAGAGACCCUGUGCAGGAAUGUUCCAGCCCUUGGGCCGCCCACCCCUGAUCCCAGGCAUCAGCAUCUGCUCCAGACCCAAGCUCUGACCCUUCAGAGACACAUUUUUGCAAGGUUUCUGGCCAGCAACACCAAUGACUGUCACAGCCAGCUGCUAAUUCAGAGAUGUCAUGCACAAGGCCCUUAACCAUGCAUGAGCAGUGUGCGUGCAGGAGCAGGGAGAACAUCCCCUACCAUGCUGUGGGACUGAGCUAUGGGUUGGAGACAGGACAAUCCUCAUCUCAGCGGUGAGUGCCUAGAAAGCGUAGGCAAAACCAACUUCUGGAGCAAGUAAUUGUGGCAACCUUCCACAGCCCUAGGUAACUGAGAUAGGCUGCCAUGCAAAUAAGCCUGUGUGGGCACAAAAUAACCCAAACUUCACCUUAACUGAGGUUUUCCCCUAUUGUCCUAUAGGAUGUAUAGGGGUCAUCAUAUGACUGGGUCAUCUCAAGGGCUCUGUUGCUUUAGAAACACACCAUUAUCACUGUAUUAGAACAACUCAUAUUUUCCAGUUCUCCCAGUUUCACACCAGACUGAGAUUUCCUCAUUGCGGGUAUCUCAGUGAGGAGCAGGAGGUCCUACCAAGGUGCUUGAUGGUCAUGGACCAUCACGUGCAAGAUUAGCCUGCCUAGUUUUCAUAAGACCCAGUGGCUUUACAAUGCUAUGGGGUGGCCUCCAAAACACCCUCCCACCAUUCACCAAUUUGCCUGGGAGGGGGGUCUGCCCCUAAACCCAGCCCCAUCACACACAACAAUACAAGGGAACCAGCAGCACAGACCCCAUCCUGGCUACCAGGC